UGAGCAAUCUGCCCUUCUCAUCGGGAAUAAGCGUUGGAAACGACGUCUAAUGCCGAAUACGACCUCCUUUCGCAUGAUCGGAGGUGGAAAGCUCCGGCGGAGAAGGAUGAGCUCGCGGCCUACCAGCUAGUUGGUGUGGGUAAUGGCCCACCAAGGCGACGACGGGUAGCCGGCCUGAGAGGGUGACCGGCCACACUGGGACUGAGACACGGCCCAGACUCCUACGGGAGGNAGCG
rnacentral:rRNA from 1 species